rnacentral:rRNA from 1 species
AGCGAACGCUGGCGGCAGGCCUAACACAUGCAAGUCGAACGAACUCUUCGGAGUUAGUGGCGGACGGGUGAGUAACACGUGGGAAAGUGCCUUUUGGUUCGGAAUAACUCAGGGAAACUUGUGCUAAUACCGAAUGUGCCCUUCGGGGGAAAGAUUUAUCGCCAUUAGAGCGGCCCGCGUCUGAUUAGCUAGUUGGUGAGGUAACGGCUCACCAAGGCGACGAUCAGUAGCUGGUCUGAGAGGAUGACCAGCCACACUGGGACUGAGACACGGCCCAGACUCCUACGGGAGGCAGCAGUGGGGAAUCUUGCGCAAUGGGCGAAAGCCUGACGCAGCCAUGCCGCGUGAAUGAUGAAGGUCUUAGGAUUGUAAAAUUCUUUCACCGGGGACGAUAAUGACGGUACCCGGAGAAGAAGCCCCGGCUAACUUCGUG